GGACGCUAGGGGCCUGGCCGGGAGAGUGAUCUGCCUUACAAGCAGAGGGUCGGCGGUUCGAUCCCGUCAGCGUCCACCA
rnacentral:tRNA from 1 species